CCUACGGGAGGCAGCAGUGAGGAAUAUUGGUCAAUGGACGAGAGUCUGAACCAGCCAAGUAGCGUGAAGGAUGACUGCCCUAUGGGUUGUAAACUUCUUUUAUAUGGGAAUAAAACGUUCCACGUGUGGGAUUUUGUAUGUACCAUAUGAAUAAGGAUCGGCUAACUCCGUGCCAGCAGCCGCGGUAAUACGGAGGAUCCGAGCGUUAUUCGGAUUUAUUGGGUUUAAAGGGAGCGUAGGUGGAUUGUUAAGUCAGUUGUGAAAGUUUGCGGCUCAACCGUAAAAUUGCAGUUGAAACUGGCAGUCUUGAGUACAGUAGAGGUGGGCGGAAUUCGUGGUGUAGCGGUGAAAUGCUUAGAUAUCACGAAGAACUCCGAUUGCGAAGGCAGUUCACUGGACUGCAACUGACACUGAGGCUCGAAAGUGUGGGUAUCAAACAGGAUUAGAUACCCCAGUAGUC
rnacentral:rRNA from 1 species